rnacentral:rRNA from 1 species
AGAUUGAACGCUGGCGGCAUGCCUAACACAUGCAAGUCGAACGGGAGUAGCAAUACUCUAGUGGCGGACGGGUGAGGAAUACGUAGGAAUUUGCCCUUAAGUGGGGGAUAACCCGGGGAAACCCGGAUUAAUACCGCAUGACCUCGAAAGAGCAAAGUGGGAGAUCGCAAGACCUCACGCUUUUGGAGAAGCCUACGUCGGAUUAGCUAGUUGGUGA